rnacentral:rRNA from 1 species
GACGAACGCUGGCGGCGUGCUUAACACAUGCAAGUCGAACGGAAAGGCCCUGCUCUUGUGGGGUGCUCGAUUGGCGAACGGGUGAGUAACACGUGAGUAACCUGCCCUUGACUGUGGGAUAACUUCAGGAAACUGGGGCUAAUACCGGAUAGGAGCUCCUGCUGCGUGUGGGGGGUUGGAAAGUGUCGGCGGUUGUGGAUGGACUCGCUGCUUAUGAGCUUGUUUGUGGGGUAGUUGCUUACCAAGGCUUUGACGGGUAGCCCGCAUGAGAGGUGGAACGGGCACAUUGGGACUAAGAUACGGACCAGACUCCUACCGGAGGCAGCAGUGGGAAGCAUUACACAAUAGGCGGAAGCCUGAUGUAGCAACGCCGCGAGCGGGAUGCCGGCCUUCGGGUUAUAAACCGCUUUGGAAUGUACCGAAGAGUGCGUGACGGUAAUGGGUCAAGAAGCACCGGCUAACUACGUG